GCAUAAGACGAUAGUUCAGUUGGUAGAGCAUGAGAAUCUUAAUCUCAGGGUCGUGGGUUUGAGCCCCACAUUGGGCA
rnacentral:tRNA from 1 species